AGGUAGGGAUCCUGCUAUAUCCUAACAGAUAUGAAAUAUUUUAACUUUUGUAUGCUUACAGAGGCUGAAAACGGAUUGUUAAAACUCUAUCUUAUUAAUAAUGUAUGUACACAUUAACCGUAAGUGCUAUUUAAACAGCUUUUUGUGUACUGGAUCCGGGUUUUAUGAGAAAUAAACUAGAUAAGAACGGGCAUGUGACGAUAAAAGAAUUUCUGGAGCUGCAGCUUUCAGACAUUUGCCUGUGUUCUUGAAAAACAAUAUUCCCUUUCAGCUGAGAAAUAUUGGAUUCAACAAGAAGGAGAAUAAUUAUGAUGUCAGGAAAAACUUGGAAAUUAUCAAUAUUAUAAAUGAAAUAACGAUUACUAUUUUCUCUUUCUGUAAGUUAGAUUUCAGGCGCAUGACGUUAUGGAACGGACUUCUUGUCUCUUCAAUUUUACACUGUCGUAUUGGUUAUUAAACUUUAGUUGUUGCAUUCAUGCAGUUCACAGAAUUAUUCAUCAUAUAAUCAUCAUAUAAACAGAUACUUUCAUCAAUUCGUGUUUGGAUAAACAAGAUCUAUCGACUAAUGUUACUCUUCAUAGAAUCUUUAAAGUUUUAGUUAUAUAUAAGUAAUAUAACAAAAGGAUAUCUAUGGUAAGAAGGGUCAGAGAGAACGCAGUAAUUACCAAAACCAGGAUUUUUGUGUGACAAACAUUAGUCUACUGUGUGUUACUUAACCAUAUGAGAGCUGAAAUAUAAUUAUAUGCAUAAAGACUUGCUUUUGAAGAGUCUUAAUAUCCAUUCAUGUUUGAAUUAAGAAGACACUAAACAUGAAUGCACAACAGAUGACUGUACUACUGCUGGUGAUUUCGUGCACAAUAGGAUUAUCUAAAAGCGCACCGGUAACGAACGACGAGCUUCGGUUUAACAAAGAGCGAGGAAUUUGUGAAUGGGGUUGCAACUCUAAUAUUGAUGAAAAACUAAAAUUAUGUGAGGCUUUGUGUCAUUUAGACACGCAUCAAAAGCAGUUCCGAUUCGAUGGCGAAACUAAAUGUCAAGCUUCUUGUGCUGCAAAAUAUAUUUGCUGUUUUGAAGGAUUUCCAUCAUUUAAACAUUAACAGUUUUAGCGCUUCAUACAAUCAUACGUUGAGGAAGCGCAUGCAAAAUCUGUGAUGGUGGGUUUAAUUGUAAAUCUAAUUUUAACUAGUGUAAUCGAUACACAUUUGCCUUAAGAGUGAUCAAAAUACAAACAAGUACAGUGGAUUUGAAAAAUGCAUCGCAGAUAUUAAUAUUCUUUGUCUGGUUAAAGGAGAAAAGCGUAGUGUGUAGCUGUAAAAGGACAGAAAACCAGACAUUCUGUGUUUCUAAAUAUGUUUGGUCCCAAUCUGUUUUAAUAAAAGCUUUUUAGCCAGUGCUUUAGCAACUGGCUAUAGCUCUAAAUCAACUACCAAGUUUCAACCUAGCGUCGUUUGAGUUUUCCUUCUAUUUCUAUGUGACCGCAUCACACAAAUAUUCUGGACGUGUAAAAAAUAGUCCCGUAUUUAUUUUUUAUAAUCUUGGUAUUGUGUGAGUGUGUGAGCAACUGAGGACUACUGUUUUAAACAACAAAUACAAGCAGGAAUGGAUUCUAGAAUAAUUAUGAAUCUUAUAUUCACAUUCGAAAUAUUCGGAAUCACUCCGCUCAGAGCUACCAACAUUGUUCAAAUCAUGACCGGUCUAUGCACAAUGAAAUGUUGAUUCUUCAGUUGUAUCGGUUGAAAUAUCACUCAAUAAGCACUGGCUAUCAGUCCUUUCAGGGUUUUGAUUAAUUGUACGUCAGCUCCGCCUUGAAGCCUCGGAGUCUUAAGUACACUACAUUCAAACAAUCAUAUGAAUUCACAUACUAGUUUCUUGGGUUCACAAUAUUUACACUCUCGAAUGCAUGUGAUAUUCAUCAAAUGUGAUUUAUUUUGUAUUUACUAUUUUACUGCACAAAAAGCGUUUAUUAACAUUAAUGAGUCGUAGUAUAGGAAUUUUAUAUAGAAAAUACUUGUGAAGUAUAAUGAUAAUGUUGUGUACGUCUGAAAUUUCCCUAUGUGAUGAAUUUCUUGGAUAUCAAACUAUCACGCUUAAAAAGGUUGGCAAGCCAUUUUAAAGUUUCCUGCAUAAUGAGAUGAUUUUGCCACCUGCAACGGGUUAAAAUGCAUUUCAAGUGAUGGAUAGCUUUGCUUCACCGACAAAAGUGUAAGAGAGACAUUCAGAAAACUUGCAGCUGGCGUUAAGGAAUUCUCCACACUAAAUGUAUACAGCCAAAACAUGCACAAUAAAAACUGUUAAAAACAUAUAUUAAUUGAAGGUAUUUUUAUAUUUUGAAAACGGCUCAACAAGGUAUAAACUAUACAUAGUCUUUCGCAGAUUUGUUUAAUCAUUUUAAUAUCAUUUUUAUCAAGGAUUUAAUAUGAAAAAAUAUAUCUGACAUUGUUAAAUGACUAAGGGACAAACAUAAAUUCUGUUGUUUGUUUCGGUUUUUUUUUUUUUUUUUUUUUUUUUUUUUUUUUUAGGUUAAUGUCACAUCGACACUAAUUGUUCAAUUGGCGAUUUUCCAGCUUUUAACGGUAGAGGCAAACACCAGAUGACCCUCCUUGCAUUAUUUCAGCAAUAAACUUGUACAUGGAUAGCAUCACCGACUUUACGUAAGCCGGUUGGAUAGCUUCCUAUCAUGAAAUAAUUCUACAUCUCAAGCCGGGUUUCAAACCCGCAGCGGCGGGGGCAAGUGGUUUGAAGUCAGCUAACAAGUCGGGGUUGACUUAAGAUCAUUUUCCCAAAAUACAUUUUUCAUAACUUUUGAGAGAAGACUUCGUGUUCACUAAAUGGCGUUGAAUCCUAAAAAAAUGUUUGUUCAUAGGCGUAGGAGCAGUGGAAAUUGGUGCAGGGUCAGGGCGCCGUAACAUUGAAAGUUGGGGUCAACAUAUGCUUUAAUCCCCUUACCCCCAACGGUUUGCCCCGUAUCUUUCAUAGAAAGCAAACAGCAAAUAAAGAUGAAAAGAUUAUUAAGAUGUUAUUAAAAAAAUCCCAACACACACAGACACUGUGAAAUUUUGUUCCCGUUGCACAAGCGCGGUGAAUGCCUUAAUAUCAUAAAUAACCAAUCUAUUCAGACUUUUAUGAAAGGUCUGUACGACCUUCAAGAUAAUUUAUCCUUUCAUUGGACAUAUAUAGACAUCAUGAUUUAUGGUACAUUGUGCGUGAUAUCCUUUCUUGUCUUUCUAUAUUCCGUGUCAAUAAAUUUUUCGUAAAGUUUAAACUACCACAUCUCGGUAUAUUACGUCAAGCAAUUAUGUUUCAAACCUGCAAAGUAUGUGGAUUUUAAACAUACAAAUAGACAGCAAAAUAUUCUAGGGCUUUAGGUAUUUUCCUUUAGAUGGUAUUUCAGUCUAAAAGUUUCCUAAAACAUAUGCUGAUAAAGAAAGAUUGUAUGGAUAUUUUUAACAACUGCAAUGCUUACUUUGUUGUAAAAUGCAGACACUAUGUAAAUGUGACCAAAAUACCCUUUAUAGGUCAUAUAAUUACCAUAAUAAAAAAUUAAAGCGUG